GAUGAACGCUGGCGGCGUGCCUAACACAUGCAAGUCGAGCGAUUUACUUCGGUAAAGAGCGGCGGACGGGUGAGUAACGCGUGGGUAACCUGCCCUGUACACACGGAUAACAUACCGAAAGGUAUGCUAAUACGAGAUAAUAUACUUUUAUCGCAUGGUAGAAGUAUCAAAGCUUUUGCGGUACAGGAUGGACCCGCGUCUGAUUAGCUAGUUGGUAAGGUAACGGCUUACCAAGGCGACGAUCAGUAGCCGACCUGAGAGGGUGAUCGGCCACAUUGGAACUGAGACACGGUCCAAACUCCUACGGGAGGCAGCAGGGGGGAAUAUUGCACAAUGGGCGAAAGCCUGAUGCAGCAACGCCGCGUGAGCGAUGAAGGUCUUCGGGUCGUAAAGCUCUGUCCUCAAGGAAGAUAAUGACGGUACUUGAGGAGGAAGCCCCGGCUAACUACGUGCCAGCAGCCGCGGUAAGAC
rnacentral:rRNA from 1 species